rnacentral:rRNA from 1 species
UACAGAGGGGGCAAGCGUUGUUCGGAAUUACUGGGCGUAAAGGGCGCGUAGGCGGCCUGUUAAGUCGAACGUGAAAUCCCCGGGCUCAACCCGGGAACUGCGUCCGAUACUGGCAGGCUUGAAUCCGGGAGAGGGAUGCGGAAUUCCAGGUGUAGCGGUGAAAUGCGUAGAUAUCUGGAGGAACACCGGUGGCGAAGGCGCAUCCUGGACCGGCAUUGACGCUGAGGCGCGAAAGCCAGGGGAGCAAAACGGGG